AUCACUCGCUUUCUAAACCCUAAUUCAUUUCAUCCAGCCGCUACCCCUUCUUUCUCUCUCUGGUGAUUUUCAAUUUAGGGUUUCUUGCCUCCAGUGGUAUGAGCCAGAUCUCAUCGGAUCCAACAAUGGUGGUCAAGGCAAGUUCCAACAAUCCGAGAUCUAGGGUUUUAAUUUCAUGUCUGAGAUUUCAUGAUUCCACUUGGCUGAGGUAUCUUCUCUGGCGGCGGCAGUGAAUGUGACAAGGGUGUACGGGAGUUACGUGUUUGGAGACUCGAUGAAAAUGGGUGGCACCGGCAUCAACAGCAGGCGGCGGCUAGGGUUCUGACCAUGACCACCUGAUUAUCUACUAACAAAUAUUGGGAAUGUUCCUUUUAUUCAAGUUUUGGAGCUCAUUUUACAUUUGGGUACCGGUCUCGAAGAUUAUUCCAGGAUUUUGUUACGGAUCUUAUCUGGUAUGUUUGUGCAUCAUUCAUUGACCCAUUGUUUGUUGGCCCAGUUUUCGCUGAUACCAAAGCUGGUGAUGAUAUGUGUUGGGUUGAGCGACAGACAUGGAGGACGUAAAAAAGCUAGAAAAUUUCUUGGGGUGGGUAAAACCCUAACAACGUCGACGAAGCUGAACGGAAAAACCCUAAUAAGGUUUUGACUUUGGUGAAAAAGGUAUAAUAUAAUUCUACAGAGGCGAUGAUUAGUAGUGUUUUGGAGUUGUGGUUUCUAAGAAAGAGAAUAGAAAGGUGAGAGGGCGAUCAAUAGACAUAUUUGGUUUCAGAUAGACCAGUAGAGCAGAGCAUUCGAUAAAUGGUAUAGUUGGGUGAAUGGAUUUAGGGGAGUGGGCCCUCAACUGCAGGGUGGAAGUGUCCAUACAUAAGGGUAUUGUAAUCUCGAAACAAAUGUUGGUUAUGUAAGGUUAUCUAAAUUAUACAGCAGGAAUUACAAGAAUGCUAAACGGGCAGCGGUGCUGGGUCGAUUAAGGCACACGUUGUAUGUUCUGGUGACCCUUGAUACAUACAUCCGGUUGUAGGUCAAGUUAUGGAUAAAUAUAUGAUUGAUAGUGAUGUUUCUGGAGAAAUAGGCGUUUUUCGGCGAAGGGUGUGAUCAGCAAGUUCAAAGUAACUAUGGUGAUGGUUUCGGGUGAUCAGCCAACAUCUCGGUCAAAAUAGAUUAAACUCGGGUCAACAAACGGUCAUCGGAAAGAUUUCACCUAUACGCGGACGACAUGACUCGCCAAGUGGAAGCGCAUCACUACUGCGGCCAUCUGAACAAAGACAUGCGGCAAUCUCUGAUCUACGACCGGCCCGAUGCCGAUGCGCGGUUGAUCAGGCUGGAACUCUUCCGGACACCGAAAAACCGAUGUGGCAUAGCCAUGAGUACGAGGUGAAGAGCGGCGUGCUCUUCCUUCCCGGUGUUCCCGGUCCGGUUGAACGAAAAGAUCUCGAGAAAGUGGCAAAACACGGGAAGACCAUACACUUUUGGCAGGUGGAUAGAGAUGAUGAACUAUCGCUCGGGUUACCGCAGGUGACGAUGGCGCUAACGCGAGACAGCAACUCUACCUGACGCGCUUUUGACAACAUAGUUUUGUUUAUUACAUCAAACUUAAAGUGGUUGAACACUUGAAUAAUCUUUUUUAUAUAAUUUGUGUGCAGUAGGCUACCAUAUGCCUAAAGGGAGAAACAGUCUUUGUUAAUAAAGGGAGUUGGUGAACUUUUCAAAAUUCAGUUCAAGUUUAUCACUGGCACAAGGAAGGUUGGUCAUGUUUCUAAUUUAUUUUUCCUUUUCCUUUUGUUUUGUAAUUGUUAUUACUUGUUAAACUAAAAAUUGUGACUCACAUGUUACAGUUUGAAUUGAACAUAGGUAAAGAGGAUCAUUUUAGUGAUAGGCCAUAAAUCACCAACUCAUUGCAUAAACUCUUCUUUUAUGUGUCAUAAGGGAUUGUUGUUGUGUCAUUGGGUGCUGAUUCAAAUGACCACCUUUGUACACCGGUGGAUGAUAUGGUUGAUGGUGGCAAAUCCGUAAAUAACGAGGCGCUAGGAACAAAGAUUGAUGCACAAACUUGCAACCCAACACCAUUGCUCACACCAUUCACGUCUACUGUCGAUCGAGCUCUGUUUUUGUCGAUUUGGUGAUUCGGGCCCUAUAUGAAAUCCUAGCAAAAUGCAUGGCAGCCAAAGGCCGUUUUUACGUUAUCAACACUUGGUAUUGCGCUGUAGCGAUCGACGUUAAAUUUGGUCCCUAUUUGUUGCGUACAUUGUUAGGAAUGAUACCCGAGAUUUUCGUCGCAAUAUACACGGGUAUAAUGAUCCAAACAUUGGCGGAUGCCUAAAACGAUCAUCAGUCACUUUCGGCACCAUAGAUUAUCUGUACGGUUUUCGGGUUUCUUUUGACCAUUGCGACCACCGUGGUGGUCACCGUUUAUGCCAAAAGGCGGUUGAGUGAGUUGCAGAAAGAUGAUGAACAGCUACUGCUGCCAAAAGAUUUUGAAGAAACUAUGUGGAGGAACUAUCAAAACAAAGAAUGUUUUUCAUUGAUUUUUAGUACAUAAAUGAAAGAAAGAUUUGACUGCAUCUUUGUUUUGCUUGUUUUAUUCCGCUUAUACCCUCAAUAAGUUGUAUAUAACCGACAUACGUACUCUAUAAACGAUCCUUCCUUUCGGUUUCA